rnacentral:lncRNA from 1 species
GGAGAGUUUUAACACGAAUUAUACAACUGUCAUUACAAUUAUUUUCACACUAAUUCAUAAAAUAACAAGGACUAUUAUAGUCACCAACUCGGACCAUCACUCUGUUCCCCGACUAGUCUCGGCUACGUUCUCAUUUUCUGAAGAGAACAAUGAAAGCAAAAUGGUGAGCUCAACUAGCCUAGUAAGAAAUAUUGUAACGCCCCAAAAUCGGAACUAUUUUCCUUCCUGAUCUUGUGCAUUAAUAUUAUCCUGUUCUAGCUUUAAAAUAUUAUUUAAUGUUAAAAUAGCUAAAAAUGCGAAAUAAAUUUUUUUUUUUGUUUUUUUCCAUUUAUUCAUUCCCAGAAUAGCAACCUUUACAAAUUUUCUUUAUACUAGAAUCAUAUUUAUUAUAUGACUUAUUUAGUCUGAGUAGAUAUAUAUAUAUAUAUAUAUAUACAAUUCAUUCUUUCAAGCAUAUCCCCUUUUUAAAACAAAUAAUCUUCAUCUAUCGAAUAAUUCAAAAAUUUAAACAUCUGUGAUUUACACAUGAAAAUACCAUCAAAUGAUUCAACACAAUCUCAAUUAAAUCACUAGUCUUCUUUUCAUGCGCUCCUAAUCACGUAGAUCGCAUCAUAGCUUUAACCUGCAAAUUAAGCAAGAUCGAGCAUGACGGCCCAACAAGUCUAAUAGUCUAUCAUGCAUCACGUAGCACAUAGGUUUCACAUUCAGUUCAUACAUUUAUAUUCUUGGUGUUCAAGCAUAUUACAAAUGCAUUAUCACAUUUAUGUCCUGCUGGUAGCAACAUACGUACCAUAGCAUACUACACAUGUCCUGUACAUGUCAUUCAUUGCACAUAUAUAUUGAGUUCCCCGACUCAAUUCAAUAAUGUCAUAAUUUGACAUUCAUCAUUCACAAAGCAAAUAAUGCAGUUAAUAGGUAUUACAUACUUAUAACCAUAAAUCAUGCUAACAAUUAUCUAUAGCAAUUAUAAGUCCACAUAAAUAAACUGAGAAACUUGCCUCGGUUUGCAUUUGUCACUAUACGUCCAUCGAACGUUCAUGAUUUAACUUCUAUCCAUCGCCGCACGACCUAUUCAUUACAAGUCGGUUAUAAUAUGCUCAUCAAUCCCAUUCGGGACUUCAAUUCAUCUGAGACUUAAUAAUAUUUAACUUAGAAAUCGUUUCUUCAUUCUACGCCUGAGAUAUUACAUCUAACGUAGGUUAACAAGUACAUUUAUAGGACUACAAAAUCUAAUUAUAUCAUAAACUUACAUCAUAGUUAACAAAAUAAAGGAAACUUCUUUCUCAUUUUAAUUUUACACUUUCUGGGUUGUCCGAAAAAUGCUAUGAAACAAUUACAUAUUUGGAUUCUACACGAAAAACUAAGCAACAUAUCAAAAAUUUACGUUACGUCCAAAAAUUUACUCGGCGAACCAAAAUGGUUCGGCGUGCUGAAACAACCCAGACAGCCUGCCCACUGCCCAGAUUCUGCAGAAACAAAAUUUGGAAAUUUUGAAUUUUGUGGUCUUCGGGCUAGUUUUACGAAUUUUUAUCUCACUCGAUAUACAUCAAAUUGAAUCCGUUUUUAGAUAUGUUCUACCUCAUACUAUGUAUUAUUUUUAAAAAAAUAUAACAUGUAUGGAAAAAGUUUGGCAAGGCUUCGAAACAGUGGCCCAAAACAGCUCACGCGCAGCUGUUUCAGACUUGGCCAAUUUUCUGCUUCAACAGAUUUCCAGAUUUUGGUUAUUUUCGUAGCUACUUUGUGAUUUUCUAUCAUGCAGCCUAUACAUCUGAAUGAUUUCAAUUUUGGAUAUGUUUGAGAUGUUACUACAUAGUAUUUUAUAAAAAUAUAACAUGGCCCAAACAGAUUCUUUAAGGCGUACUUAUAGAGGCUCAAAACUGCCCUGUCACCACAUUUUUCAUCCAAAUUCAAGUUUAACAAAAACUUAUGAACUUCACUUUGGGCUUUAUUCCAGACAUACAAAUAAGUUUGGUUAUCUUCUAAUACAGAUAUGCAGGCUAUCUUACUCAUAACACUAACCAAUUCUCAUGUUUUAACAUAUUUGUCUCAUUGGGAUAUUUUAACAAACACCAUGAAUGCAUGGUUUAAAACCCCAGAAUUCACAAGCUUUUAGACACAGUCUAGCCAUGAUUUUUCCAUGAAAUCCUCCCUUGUCACUUCAGAACUCAUACAAUAGCAUUAACCAAAUCAAUUUCUCAACCAAUAAAGCAAUUCAAUUCUUUCUUUAUUUCAAUUUCUAUAAAUUUGAUGAGGAAGUAUAAUCUACCUUACUUAAUUGAUAUCAUAACUUAAUUCUUGCUCUAAGCUUGCUUCAAUUCCUGUCUCGAGCUUGCUAUGGCUGAAUUCAAUCCUCCUUUUGUCAAUAUAUUGCUUAAACUUCCUUCCAAACUCAGUUACUAUCUUCAAUUUCUAGAGAGUUUAAAUGGCUUCUUUAUUUAUGGAAUGAAGGCAUAACAAUUUAGGAGGGGAAGUGGAGUGGAACGGAUGGGAGUUAAAGAAAUAUGGAUAAACUCUUAGCUCCCUUUAUUAGAAACGCCACCUCCUCUGCUAGCUCCCUCUCUCUACUUAGCUUCUCGUUUUGCAAAUGAACCGGACAUAGCAAGGGAUGAAUAAUAUAUGGGGAAACCAUUUGAUUUUUUUACAAAGCUUCUUGGAUGGAAGAAUUGGGAGAAUAUGUUGGGCAGGUUUGCAAAGCUCAUCUCAACAACAGUUACCCCGACAAAAUAAAAUAAAAGUGACGGGCUCACAUAUAUGAUAUGAUUCUCACUUCCUAUCCCAACUGGGUUCAGCUAAAUUCAAUCAGUUUCAGCCACAUAAUCAACAACCCAAAAGAAAAUUUCACAAACAUACAAUUAAUAUCAACUAAUUCUCAUGUUUUAACUAAUUAUUUUCCUUUAGGCAUUUUUACAAAUACCUUAAAUGCCUGUUUAUAAAACUCGUGUUAUCCAUGAUUUGAAGCAUAGAAAUCCCAUCUCUACACUUCACUUCCAUCUUUAUACUCAGGAAUCCUUCAUGAUUCCCCACACAAAAAUCUCCCACAAUUAUACACAAAAUAACAACCAUUCUUCAUUUAAAUUCUAUACAUUUUUUUUUAAGAAAUAAGUAAAAUACUCUUUGUUUUGUAUUUGAAAUGGGUAGAAUACUCACCUCAAUUCUGGAUAUAUUGUAGAUACCAUAAGAUAAUAUAUUUAGAAAAUAUAAGCCACCCAUUUUGGACAUCUUAGGCAGUCCAAAACAGGCCUUAAAAAUGUCCAAUCAUAACAGUUUUUAACUUUUUUCCAACUUUACCCUCUCUCGCUAAAACGGUCAUAACUUCUUCGUUUCAAAACAUUUUUAAGCGAUUCUUGAGCUCCCGCGAAGCUAACUUCCGGUACUAUAACUCCUAUUCAAUAGCCUUUUCCAAAUUCUGCACCCAUAAUUCCAGAAAAUUCGUGUAAAGGGCUGCUUCGAAUCUGUUUUCCAGAUUUUUGGCAGAUUCGACGCGACUACUUUGAACUGUCAUAACUCAUUGCUCCGAAGUCGGAAUUAGUCCGUUCCGGAGUCUAUGGAAAACUUAUUCAAUGUACUAUAAUACCCCAAAAGCCCAAAAUUUUCUGAAAACUCUAGCUAGCCCCGAAUUUGUCCUUAGGGUCAGCAGUUCACAAUUUUUUUCAGUUUCUAACAUGUUUAUUUCGCGACCUUAUUACUUCUAGCUCAUAUACCAAUUAGAACAAAUUUUAAAUAUGUUAUAUAUAGUAUAUGAGACUGUAUUUAAAAGUUAUAAACUUCCCAUUUCAGAAUCUUUAAGCUGCUCAAAACAGUGGUCAAUAAUGGCUUAAUACACUUAUUUCCAACUUUUCGUUUUGGUUUAAAACUGCUUUUCGUUUUAACUUAAUAUGCUCAAGCUCUUUAAUUAUUAUCGUAUAUGUUAUAUAAAUCUAGCCCAAGCUUUAGUUUGCCUAAUACUUGGAUUUUAACCAAAACAGUUCAUAUAGGCCUUUUGUCGAACACUAUGUGUGACUUCUUUCAAAGUUCAGAUUUCUUGAGGUUUGGUUUGAGUUUUAGCCUCAUUUUUUCACCUUAUUACUCCUCACAACCCAACCUAAACUUCUUUGCUUCUAAUUCACAAUCAUUUAAGCCACAUCUCAUAUCACAUCAAGUAAUUAUUAUAAACUUUCUAGAACUAACUUUGUAAACUUCAUAUGAAAUAUUUAUAAGCAAAGUACUAACCUUUUGUUUGCUUUGAAUUAGCUAGAAUUAUAUCCUCUUAAAAUCACCUUGAUCAGCCCCCUUUUAUGGUCAGUUCAUUCGAAACAGCGCCCCACUUCAAUUUCACACUUAAUUCUGUAAUUUUAGCCGAAAGGGAGAAAAAAUUGGAUAUACUUUGAGGUACAAUUACUAUGAAGGAGUAAGAGAAAGGAUUGAGGGAAUGGAUGGGCUGAACUAGUAAAGAGAUUUAGGAUUGAUUCAUGCUCUACCAUAUUAUUUCCCUGACCUCUCUCUCUCCUCAAUUAUCAGCCGCAGCCUAUCAACCAUAGCCCCUAGAAAUUGACCCCUAAGUGACUCCUUAAC